AUUAAAGUUAUUUGAGUUCCCUAUCUAUACUUGAUUUGAAAAUGAUAUACGGCUCCUGUAGAAUUUUGGAAUGUUUGGAGGGUCUGCUUUAAUUUAAUAAUUAGAUACAAGUAUUUAACAAAUUUCUCCAAUUUUUCUCUUCUUAAAUUAUUAUUAAGUAAGAUUUGUCAUCAUAUAAUGAAGAGAGUAAUUAUAUUUGUUAAUGGAACUGACGUUAAUGGGAAGGUAUUUGUAGUGACUCAUUCGUUAGAAGAAUUAUUGAAGGCAGCUAGCGCAAAAUUCGAAAUAACCGCAAAGAAAAUUUUUACAUCGCAAGGAGGUGAAAUUGAUGAUAUCAAGCUCGUUAGAGACGACGAUAUUUUAUAUAUUUCGAAUGGAGAAAAUUUUAUACAUACAAAUAAAAAUUUAAGCUACACUCCACUAAGCAAGAAUUCAGAAUGGAUUACGCUAAAUGUUGGAGGAAAAUAUUUUACUACAACUAGGGAUACUUUGACGAAGAAGGAACCUAUGAGUAUGUUGGCGAGGAUGUUCACAGAAACUGAAAAUACUGAACGUACGAUACAGCCAAGUAGACAAGAUCAUCGGGGAGCAUAUCUGAUUGACAGAAGUCCCACUUAUUUUGAGCCAUUGUUAAAUUACCUGAGGCAUGGCCAAAUAAUACUGGAUACCAAUGUUAACAUAGCUGGAGUGUUAGCGGAAGCUUGUUUUUACGGUAUCGAAGGUGCUAUUCGAAUUCUAACUACAAUGUUGGAGAAAGAAGAACAGCAAAAGGAGGGUCUUGUAUCUCUAACUCGCAAAGAUGUACUUAAAGCCAUUAUGUCUACACCAACAAACGCAGAACUUAGAUUCCAGGGUGUUGAUUUCGUAAGAGCCGAUCUUUCAAAACUAGAUCUUAGGAAUAUUAAUUUCAAGUAUGCCAUUAUGCAUCACUGUAGUCUGGCGGGUGCUAAUCUGUCGGGAUGCUGUUUCGAACGCGCUGAUUUAUCCCAUGCCAAUUUGCAAGGCGCUCAACUUGUAUGUGUCAAAAUGUCGUGCGCAAAUCUGGCUGCAGCCAAUUUGCAUUCGUGUAAUUUUGAAGAUCCCGGGGGUCUAAUACCGGCAAACAUGGAAGGUGUGAAUUUGAAAGGUGCUAAUCUUGAAGGCAGUAAUAUGGCAGCCGUGAAUCUCCGAGUAGCUACAUUAAAAAAUGCUAUUCUUAAGAAUUGCAUUUUAAGAUCAGCUGUUUUAGCUGGUGCAGAUUUAGAGCACUUUCACCCCAGCCAAACUGAGGUCAGUCGUGCACUGUGAAUUUUUUACACCGACGUAACUGUUAAAACGACAGCGGUUGAAAAGCGAUACUGCGGCGUCAUAUUCCCCUACCGACCAAGUUUUUUUAGGCAGGGUAUAGGCACGUGUUGCACGUAUGUAUGUAUGUACAUACCCGGGGGUGACUCUGCCAAGAUUUACGCGUCUAGAUUUUGUUUCACGGGAACAUUAAGCCACUUGGCGCAUAAGUCGACUUAAGCGCAUAAGUCGACCUGCAUCCUUACAACGCUUACAACCGAUUUGAAAGUUAUUGUUUUACUAGAAAAUGCAGGUCUAUGCGUCAGUCAAAUCUGUCAAAUCAAAGGAUGCAAGUAGGAACUAGCGCCUCUAGCGGAUUUUCUAAUCGUAAGGAGAUAUUCGAGGGACGCGUAAAAGCAUAGUGAAGUAUAAGCAGUGUCACCUCCGUGCACGUACCGUUCGGCGUACGCAAUGCGAGAAAUUUUGCUCGAACGCGAGUGAUCCCACAUUGGCUAGUAGGGUUAUAUUUUUAUGUACUAUGAUACACAUGCUU